GACGAACGCUGGCGGCGUGCCUAAUACAUGCAAGUCGAACGCAGUGGGGACGGGUGAGUAACAAGUGGGUAACCUCCCAUCAGAGGGGAUAACACUUGGAAACAGGUGCUAAACCGCUACUGAUGGAUGGACUCGCGGUGCAUUAGCUAGUUGGUGAGGUAACGGCUCACCCAGGCCACGAUGCAUAGACGACCUGAGAGGUUGAUCGUCCACAGUGGUAAUGAGACACGGCCCAGACGCCUACGGGAGGCAGCAGUGUGGAAUGUUCGGCAAUGGACACAAGUCUGACCGAGCAACGCCGCGUGAGGUAAGAGUGUUUGCUGAUCGUAAAACUCGUUUGUUAGAGAAGCGGUAUCUAACCAGAAAGCCACGGCGAACUACGUGCCAGCAGCCGCGGUAAUUC
rnacentral:rRNA from 1 species